rnacentral:rRNA from 1 species
CACGUAGGCGGACUCUUAAGUCGGGGGUGAAAUCCUGGAGCUCAACUCCAGAACUGCCUUCGAUACUGAGAGUCUUCGAGUUCGGGAGAGGUGAGUGGAACUGCGAGUGUAGAGGUGAAAUUCGUAGAUAUUCGCAAGAACACCAGUGGCGAAGGCGGCUCACUGGCCCGAUACUGACGCUGAGGUGCGAAAGCGUGGGGAGCAACA